GACGAACGCUGGCGGCGUGCUUAACACAUGCAAGUCGAACGGAAAGGCCCUGCUUUUGUGGGGUGCUCGAGUGGCGAACGGGUGAGUAACACGUGAGUAACCUGCCCUUGACUUUGGGAUAACUUCAGGAAACUGGGGCUAAUACCGGAUAGGAGCUCCUGCUGCAUGGUGGGGGUUGGAAAGUUUCGGUGGUUGGGGAUGGACUCGCGGCUUAUCAGCUUGUUGGUGGGGUAGUGGCUUACCAAGGCUUUGACGGGUAGCCGGCCUGAGAGGGUGACCGGCCACAUUGGGACUGAGAUACGGCCCAGACUCCUACGGGAGGCAGCAGUGGGGAAUAUUGCACAAUGGGCGGAAGCCUGAUGCAGCAACGCCGCGUGCGGGAUGACGGCCUUCGGGUUGUAAACCGCUUUCGCCUGUGACGAAGCGUGAGUGACGGUAAUGGGUAAAGAAGCACCGGCUAACUACAUG
rnacentral:rRNA from 1 species